rnacentral:rRNA from 1 species
AUUGAACGCUGGCGGCAUGCCUUACACAUGCAAGUCGAACGGCAGCACGGGUGCUUGCACCUGGUGGCGAGUGGCGAACGGGUGAGUAAUACAUCGGAACGUACCUUAUCGUGGGGGAUAACGCAGCGAAAGCUGUGCUAAUACCGCAUAAGCCCUGAGGGGGAAAGCGGGGGAUCGAAAGACCUCGCGCGAUUAGAGCGGCCGAUGCCUGAUUAGCUUGUUGGUGGGGUAAGAGCCCACCAAGGCGACGAUCAGUAGCUGGUCUGAGAGGACGAUCAGCCACACUGGGACUGAGACACGGCCCAGACUCCUACGGGAGGCAGCAGUGGGGAAUUUUGGACAAUGGGGGCAACCCUGAUCCAGCAAUGCCGCGUGAGUGAAGAAGGCCUUCGGGUUGUAAAGCUCUUUUGUCAGGGAAGAAACACCGGCUCUAACACAGUCCGGGAAUGACGGUACCUGAAGAAUAAGCACCGGCUAACUACGUGCCAGCCGCCGCGGUAA